GACGAACGCUGGCGGCGUGCCUAAUACAUGCAAGUCGAACGCAGUGGGGACGGGUGAGUAACACGUGGGUAACCUCCCAUCAGAGGGGAUAACACUUGGAAACAGGUGCUAAACCGAUACUGAUGGAUGGACCAGCGGUGCAUUAGCUAGUUGGUGGGGUCACGGCUUACCAAGGCCACGAUGCAUAGCCAACCUGAGAGGUGGAUCGGCCAAAUUGGGACUGAGACAAGGCCCAGACGCCUCAGGGAGGCAGCAGUAGGGAAUCUUCGGCAAGGGACGAAAGUCUGACCGAGCAACGCCGCGUGAGUGAAGAAGGUUUUCGGAUCGUAAAACUCUGUUGUUAGAGAAGCGGUAUCUAACCAGAAAGCCACGGCUAACUACGUGCCAGCAGCCGCGGUAAUAC
rnacentral:rRNA from 1 species